rnacentral:tRNA from 2 species
GGCAAGGUAGCUCAGUUGGUUAGAGCAUGCGGUUCAUACCCGCAGUGUCGAGGGUUCAAAUCCCCCCCUUGCUACCA